rnacentral:rRNA from 1 species
CUGGAGAGUUAUGCUACCUUGGACAUACCCAAUUUCAUCUGGUUUCAGAAGCUAAGCAGGGUCAAACUUGGUCAGUACGCGCGUGGAAACCCACAAGAGAAUGCCAACGAGGACUAGA